rnacentral:sRNA from 2 species
UUCGAAAGCCUGCCGAAGGACGGGCCCACGAACCUCGGCAGGGAAGCGGGAACGACCGGAAGCGGCCGAUCCCUUGGGGUGAAGUCCCGGAAAUCCGGGACCGGACGGCCUCUCAGUCCGAACCCGACAGCUCACCUCGCAGGCGCGGACGAGAGGAAGA